UACGUAGGGGCCUAGCGUUGUCCGGAAUUAUUGGGCGUAAAGAGCUCGUAGGCGGUGUGUCGCGUCGGCCGUGAAAACCUGCAGCUUAACUGUGGGCUUGCGGUCGAUACGGGCAUCACUGGAGUUCGGCAGGGGAGACUGGAAUUCCUGGUGUAGCGGUGAAAUGCGCAGAUAUCAGGAAGAACACCUAUGGCGAAGGCAGCUCUCUGGGACGGUACUGACGCUGAGACGCGAAAGCGUGGGGAGCGAACAGG
rnacentral:rRNA from 1 species